rnacentral:rRNA from 1 species
GUCGAACGCGUUGGCCCAAUUGAUUGAUGGUGCUUGCACCUGAUUGAUUUUGGUCGCCAACGAGUGGCGGACGGGUGAGUAACACGUAGGUAACCUGCCCAGAAGCGGGGGACAACAUUUGGAAACAGAUGCUAAUACCGCAUAACAGCGUUGUUCGCAUGAACAACGCUUAAAAGAUGGCUUCUCGCUAUCACUUCUGGAUGGACCUGCGGUGCAUUAGCUUGUUGGUGGGGUAACGGCCUACCAAGGCGAUGAUGCAUAGCCGAGUUGAGAGACUGAUCGGCCACAAUGGGACUGAGACACGGCCCAUACUCCUACGGGAGGCAGCAGUAGGGAAUCUUCCACAAUGGGCGCAAGCCUGAUGGAGCAACACCGCGUGAGUGAAGAAGGGUUUCGGCUCGUAAAGCUCUGUUGUUAAAGAAGAACACGUAUGAGAGUAACUGUUCAUACGUUGACGGUAUUUAACCAGAAAGUCACGGCUAACUACGUGCCAGCAGCCGCGGUAAUACGUAGGUGGCAAGCGUUAUCCGGAUUUAUUGGGCGUAAAGAGAGUGCAGGCGGUUUUCUAAGUCUGAUGUGAAAGCCUUCGGCUUAACCGGAGAAGUGCAUCGGAAACUGGAUAACUUGAGUGCAGAAGAGGGUAGUGGAACUCCAUGUGUAGCGGUGGAAUGCGUAGAUAUAUGGAAGAACACCAGUGGCGAAGGCGGCUACCUGGUCUGCAACUGACGCUGAGACUCGAAAGCAUGGGUAGCGAACAGGAUUAGAUACCCUGGUAGUCCAUGCCGUAAACGAUGAGUGCUAGGUGUUGGAGGGUUUCCGCCCUUCAGUGCCGGAGCUAACGCAUUAAGCACUCCGCCUGGGGAGUACGACCGCAAGGUUGAAACUCAAAGGAAUUGACGGGGGCCCGCACAAGCGGUGGAGCAUGUGGUUUAAUUCGAAGCUACGCGAAGAACCUUACCAGGCCUUGACAUCUUGCGCCAACCCUAGAGAUAGGGCGUUUCCUUCGGGAACGCAAUGACAGGUGGUGCAUGGUCGUCGUCAGCUCGUGUCGUGAGAUGUUGGGUUAAGUCCCGCAACGAGCGCAACCCUUGUUACUAGUUGCCAGCAUUAAGUUGGGCACUCUAGUGAGACUGCCGGUGACAAACCGGAGGAAGGUGGGGACGACGUCAGAUCAUCAUGCCCCUUAUGACCUGGGCUACACACGUGCUACAAUGGACGGUACAACGAGUCGCGAACUCGCGAGGGCAAGCAAAUCUCUUAAAACCGUUCUCAGUUCGGACUGCAGGCUGCAACUCGCCUGCACGAAGUCGGAAUCGCUAGUAAUCGCGGAUCAGCAUGCCGCGGUGAAUACGUUCCCGGGCCUUGUACACACCGCCCGUCACACCAUGAGAGUUUGUAACACCCAAAGUCGGUGGGGUA